CUCCUCCUCGUCCAUUGUGUAGUGACAGGGGUUGUAACGUCAGGCUAGGCACUGGCGAGGAGCACCGUUCAAUCCUGCUUGUUUGUGUGUGUGUGAGUUACCAGCAGGGCUCCCGCAGACAGACAUUUUCUGCUGCUCUGGGCUUUCCAUAAACGUGAGAUUAACAGAACUGCCACUGUGGACGAGGCGGACCACCUUUGCGUUUCCAGUGUCCUCGUAUGGAAAUCCUCGAAUCGGGCGGAUUUGCCAAUUUCCUCUCUCGCUGACAUGACAGUGGACUCUUUAUACCCCGCGACCUUCCAUCUGAGGAGGAGGAACGCGAACACGUCUGUCUCUGGCUGACAAAGCUAAGUUGACCCAAGCAGAGACGAGGACAAGUGGCGGAAAGGGGCGAACUACCUGUUAGCUUCUCCGCGCUGCGGGAUUGCGCCUUCGAUACCCAAGCGAAGGGACUGUCUCGUUAGAUUAUAAUUUUUUUCUACCUUUUUCAUUCAGCAUUUACUGGCCUACUUCGUGCAAGUUGGAGAUAAGAGCAACGCGCUGCGGGUUUUUGCGCCUGAAGAUGAAGAUCAAGCUGAAGGAUGAUGUGGAAGGAGUGGUGACCCUGUGGUAAAAAAAUCGCACGAAGACAGGAAAAGCAGAAAGCACCGACGGGACUGAGUUGUGUGUUUGUGAGCGUUCGCCUGUGCGCAGAGAUGGAGAAGGCUAUGACCGCGUCCCUUCACCUGGACCUAGGGCUGCUGCUGUUGGUGGUACUGGCCUGUUGUCAAACACCAGAGAUUGUGGGAGCCACUGUGCCUGCAGCUCCUGUGAACCUGUCGGUGACCCAGCUGAGGGCACAUUCAGCCAUGGUGACCUGGAACGUCCCUCAGGGAGACACAGUAAUUGGAUACGCCAUCUCUCAACAGAGGCAGGACGGCCUGAUGCAGCGCUCCAUCCGAGAGGUGAACACGUCCAGCCGCUGGUGUGUGCUGUGGGACCUGGACGAGGACACGCACUACAGUGUCCAGGUGCAGUCUGUGGGCCUGAAUGGUGACAGUCAACCCAGCCGGGCCGUCCACUUUAGGACUCUGGAGAGGAGUGACCACUAUCCAGUCGGAGUCCUGGACCACCACGAACCAGCGAUGGAAGGUCUCGGCAUGACUCCUCACCUCCAGACAGGAGAGCUGCUCAUUAUCACCACUGUGCUGCUGCUGUGGGCAGCCGUAAUCGCCCUCUUCUGCAGACAGUAUGACAUCAUCAAAGACAAUGACUCCAAUGGCACCAAGGAAAAAGCCAAGAGGCCACUGGUUCGCACAACGUCCUCCUUCUACAAUGUUUCAGCUGCCAGCUCACCCAUCUACCACAAUGGAGCGGUUCGCAGCAGCAGGGUGACUCAUUUCUCCUGCAACCACUGAUCUCUAUUUAGAACCUCUAAGAACCCUCCUUCCACAGCCUUCAUUUUGUGGCAGCUCAUUUCUAUAAUGCAUGAUCAUUCUUGGCUGCCAGGAAUAUUUUGUUUUCUCUAAAGAGCUUUUGUAGCUGCAUCAGAGAUCUCCUAGCAACCAGAGCUGCUGCCAUUGUGGCUAAAUAUAAAACAAGCAGGUUGGAAACAGAGAGUUAGCUGGGUAAAGUGAGCAUUCUGACAGACUGGAACCAUUUCCAAAAACCUGGAGAUCCUGGAGUUUCAGCCUUGGCUGCACAAAUCAGCUUGUACAGCAAUAGAUUUGCUUCACAGAGCCUCCUCCUCCAUCAGCAUCAUUAGAGUGUGAGUUUGGAUGCUGAUGCUGAGUUUAGGGAAUAGUGCAUCAACAGGAGACAUUUCAGUCAGUUUAUUUUGACAAAUAGAGACUUUUUAGAUCUUCUGAGUAAUUUCAUUUUAGUGAAAACUGACAAAUAAAUAUAAAACUGAGGAAUCACACUGUGGAUAAAAUGAACGUCAACAUCAUGGAUCAUGGCUGAAGGACCAUUGGAUUAUGUUUUGAUUUUGAAUCAAUGUUAUUUCAACGUUUUCCUGUCAACAUUAAAAGUUGUGCUCCAACCGCAAAACGUUUCUUAUUCUUCUUAAAUCUUAUUAUAUUUAUUCGCAGUAUAAACCUUUUUACAAGCAUUAGCAUUAAAUGUUAUUUCAGUGUUACAUCAACACCACAGAAACAACUGGUGUUAUUUUAACCAUAUUUUAAUGUUGAUUCAUAGGUAUUUUGUUUUACAAGCAUGUUGUUUCAAUGCUAAUGUCAUAACAUUAACAUCAUAACAAUACAAUUAUUUUAACCCCAUUUUAAAGUUGGAUGUCGGUUGUGUGCCUGCUGGGCAUUGUUGAACAAAUCCACGGCUGUACAGAUUUCUUCUUCAACUGCAAAUAUUUGUCACUAUGUUGGCAAAGUUCUAUCCACCACAAAUAUAUUAUUUUUAUUUCCUUAUCUAACAUGUCUGUGUUUGAGUAGAGGGUUUUUCUGUAUGUAGUAUAUGUAAUCAUAUGAAUUUGUAGAGCACAUUAUUUAAAAACGUUAAGAUUCAAGUGUAAUUUUAACAUUUUUAACUUUGAUCCUCAGGCACCAUCUUCAAAUGUCAUGUUAAUUGUCUGUGAAUGUUCAAUUUUAUCAAGAUCAUAUUAAUUAAGGAGUGUUUUUUUAUUAACAAUUUCAGGUGAUGUUUCAAGAGUUUCAAUUUAUUUACUACGCUUCACAUCAAUUGACGGUUAAUAAAAUCAUCAAUCAUCAUUGGUGUUUGAAUGGAUAAAAUGUAAGAUUACUGUAAAAUGUUUGGAUUUCUGUGGUUUCAAAUAAACUGAUGUCAGCAUUUGUGUUCAGGCA